GCUGAUGGAAGCAUGCAAACCUUGCAGAGUAAAAACAAGGUUAAUUCUUAAGCAGUGCAUUAGGAGAUGGUAAGCUAUUUUUUUGUGCCUUACUAUACAAAUGUAGGAUCUUAAUUUGAGGAUCUUAAUUAAGAUACAGCAUUUGUAGAUUGAUUUGGAUUCUUUCAGCUAUCUUGCUUCUCCUUUGUCCUUUCAUGAGUGUGUCGAAUGAAUAACUGGAAGGAUGUUAUUGAUGCAACCUGCAUCAACAGACCAUCACAAGCCCUCUAGCAAAGACAGGGAUGUGGCCUGGAAUGCCCGUUAGGAUCCAGCUGCUUCCAACUCAUUGGUAUUUGGGAGACAGAGCGUUCCCGAGCGUCUGUUGCACGUGCAAAGGAGGGGCUUGGCUGGGCUAGAGAUGCUCUUCUCUCUCUCUCUCUCUCUCUCUCUCUCUCUCUCUCUCUCUCUCUCUCUCUCGCUCUCUCUCUCUCUCAUGUUAUCAGGACCUAAAAAUAGAAGCCAUCCCCCCUCUCCCUCCACUCCCAAUGCAUCUGUGUUUUCCUCCACAACCUCCCUCCUUCUCCUUCCUUGUCUUUUUUUGUCCACAGAUGAGACUCUUCACAUGUUGAGAACUUUGGACUAUAAGGUUCUAUCUGCAUUCAUGUCAAAAAGGAGUUUUUGACCUAGCCUUGUUCUGUUCAAUGUUCUCUACCGAUAUACCCCAAUUCAUGUUGUUAAGUUCAAAAGAAUACAAGAUAAAAAUUGCUGACACCAUUCAAACCAACGAGGAUUCAGAACGUUAAAGCCAAUUAUCUCAGAAUCAUCUUUUUGCAGAUAGAACCUUAUAGUCCCAAGCUCUAGAUGUGAACCCUGACUAUUUAGAUUGUAGUUACAUACAGUACUUGCCCCAAUUUGGGUGGAGCCAUACUUAUUAAAACUUACUGCUGUGGUACAUUUCCUUGUUUCACAUGAUCAGUAACUGUUAAAAUGCAUCCAUCUCUGAAUCUUUAAACUGGGUUAAAGUUUGAUGAACUCCCCCCGCUGUGUCAUAGCUAAUCAGCAGAUGCUAACCCCCAGGAUGCACCGUGGUUGGUGUAUAUGGACGUAAUGCCCCGUGCUGCUACAUCACAUCAUUAUAAAACUGGAUUUGAUGAAUAGAUUGCGCUCUCAUAGAAUACAAGAGAGAUGAACGCAUACAGUAGUAUCAAUAAGUAGAAAAUACAUUUACAGGCCAGGGUUAACUGUUUGUAUUUGUUUUGUGAAUACCCUCAUAAACAUGGUCAUGUCAUGUA